GUGGAAGGCUGGAUGACCGCGGUCUUGGCAACAAGGUCGAGGAAAGUCCGGACUCCAAGAAGAUACGGUGCCGGGUAACACCCGGGCGGGGCAACCCGACGGAGAGCGCCACAGAAAAUAAACCGCCCCGAACAGCCGCUUCUGCGGGGACUUUGGGGUAAGGGUGAAACGGUGGGGUAAGAGCCCACCGCGCCGCUGGCAACAGGGGCGGCAGGGCAAGCCCCACUGGGAGCAAUGCCAAAUAGGGACCGCGUGCUCGGCAACGGGCGGGGAUGCUUCUUCCCCAGCAGGUCCGGGUUGGCAGCUGUAGCUGCAUCGGCAACGGUGUGGUUAGAUGAAUGGUCAUCCACCCUCAAACUUCGGUUCGGGGGAGACAAAAUCCGGCUUAUAGGCCUUCCACGCAA
rnacentral:RNase_P_RNA from 1 species